CAACGGCUGACAGACGCCAUGGCAACCACUACAGAGAGAUUCCCUUCCUGACAACUAGCUGAGCCCGCAUUUUCAUUAUAUUCAGAGUCACUGGCAUCACUCCAGUAUCAGCUGCACGUGACCCUGUUUGACUCGGGUCACCAGCACUUAUUUGGGCGCACAGGGAAGAGUAGCUCACACUCUGUCAGUGGCAUGCAGGGUCAGAGCGGUCGAGUGCUCUUCAAUGAGGUUGUGUACUUUACACUUCCUUGUGUUUGAGUUCUGUGGUGGCAGUGGUGGAAUUGGUGUCUCUGUCUACCAGAGCAGAUAGGUCCCAGGAUGCAGUGGGGUCAGGGUUUGGACUGCUCCAGCUCUGCACAGGUCGCACAGACACCAGCAUCUCUCAGGGGGAGG